rnacentral:rRNA from 1 species
AUUGAACGCUGGCGGCAGGCCUAACACAUGCAAGUCGAACGGAGUGGCGGACGGGUGAGUAAUGCCUGGGAAUCUGCCUGGUAGUGGGGGAUAACGUCCGGAAACUGGCGCUAAUACCGCAUCCUAUCAGAUGAGCCCAGGUCGGAUUAGCUAGUUGGUGGGGUAAAGGCCUACCAAGGCGACGAUCCCUAACUGGUCUGAGAGGAUGAUCAGUCACAAUGGAACUGAGACAAGGUCCAGACGCCUACGGGAGGGAGCAGUGGGGAAUAUUGGACAAUGGGCGAAAGCCUGAUGCAGCCAUGCAGCGUGUGUGAAGAAGGUCUUCGGAUUGUAAAGCACUUUAAGUUGGGAGGCGUUACCAACAGAAUAAGCACCGGCUAACUUCGUGCCAGCAGCCGCGGUAAUUC